AGUGAACGCUGGCGGUAGGCCUAACACAUGCAAGUCGAACGGCAGCACAGUAAGAGCUUGCUCUUACGGGUGGCGAGUGGCGGACGGGUGAGGAAUACAUCGGAAUCUACUUUUUCGUGGGGGCUAACGUAGGGAAACUUACGCUAAUACCGCAUACGACCUACGGGUGAAAGCAGGGGAUCUUCGGACCUUGCGCGAUUGAAUGAGCCGAUGUCGGCUUAGCUAGUUGGCGGGGUAAAGGCCCACCAAGGCGACGCUCCGUAGCUGGUCUGAGAGGAUGAUCAGCCACACUGGAACUGAGACACGGUCCAGACUCCUACGGGAGGCAGCAGUGGGGAAUAUUGGACAAUGGGCGCAAGCCUGAUCCAGCCAUACCGCGUGGGUGAAGAAGGCGUUCGGGUGGUAAAGCCCUUUUGUUGGGAAAGAAAAGCAGCAGGUUAAUACCCCGCUGUUCUGACGGUACCCAAAGAAUAAGCACCGGCUAACUUCGUG
rnacentral:rRNA from 1 species